GCGAGCAUGAUGUCUAGUUUCUAGUGAAAUUGAAACGAUACAGAGAAGAUUAGCAUGGCCCCUGCGCAAGGAUAACACACAAAUUCAUGGAGUGUUCCAUAAUUUU
ensembl:snRNA U6 U6 spliceosomal RNA